GAAAUGCGAUAAGUAAUGCGAAUUGCAGAAUUUCCGUGAGUCAUCGAAUCUUUGAACGCACAUUGCGCCCAUUGGUAUUCCGAUGGGCAUGCCUGUUCGAGCGUCAUUAUCCUCCCUCAAACCUCGUGUUUGGUGUUGGACCGCGUUGGCCAAGCGACCAACUGGUCUCAAAGACAAUGACGGCGUCCGUGGGACCCUCGGUGCAACGAGCUUCUAAGGAGCACGCGUCGAGUUUCAAGGACCCUCCGGGCCGGUCUAACCUCUAUCUUCUCAGGUUGACCUCGGAUCAGGUAGGAAUACCCGCUGAACUUAA
rnacentral:misc_RNA from 1 species